CCUACGGGUGGCUGCAGUGGGGAAUUUUGCGCAAUGGGCGAAAGCCUGACGCAGCGACGCCGCGUGGGUGAUGAAGGCUUUCGGUCUGUAAAGCCCUUUCAGUCGGGACGAGACGAAGACGGUACCGACAGAAGAAGCAUCGGCUAACUACGUGCCAGCAGCCGCGGUAAUACGGAGGAUGCAAGCGUUAUCCGGAAUUAUUGGGCGUAAAGCGAACGUAGGCGGUUGCUUAAGUUUGGGGUUAAAGACCAAGGCUCAACCUUGGGAGUGCCUUGAAUACUGGGCAGCUGGAGGACGGCAGAGGAAAGUGGAAUUCCAAGUGUAGCGGUGAAAUGCGUAGAUAUUUGGAGGAACACCAGUGGCGAAAGCGGCUUUCUGGGCCGUUCCUGACGCUGAGGUUCGAAAGCUAGGGGAGCAAACGGGAUUAGAUACCCUUGUAGUC
rnacentral:rRNA from 1 species